rnacentral:lncRNA from 1 species
UGAAAUAAGAGUACGUUUGGAGCAUCCUGUAGCCCAUCGCAUGAAGCCACCAUCGACGACGGCACCACCAUCCGAACCCAAACCUGAAAGAUGCUAGCCAUCGAUCGGGUCGGACGUUCGAAUCCUACCGAGACUUCGGGAUCCACACCCUAAACCGACCCGCUUGGAGUCGGUCCUUCAGAAGGCAGGCUCCUCGAUUCCUCUCCCCGGCCCUCUCCCCAUCCAUCUCCUGCUGAGCUCGUGCUCUGGUUGGAUUCCAAAUUUCUCUUUCGCGAUUCAGAGCUCCGGAUAGUUUCCUCAUGGGAACCCGCGCGCUUCCCAACCUCAGAUCACCCCUCCCCUCUCCUCCUCCACCGGCGCCAUCCCCUCUCAGAAACGAUCGGUGGAGGAUCUCUCCAUUCCCCUCCUCAACAANNN